UACGAAGGGGGCUAGCGUUGCUCGGAAUCACUGGGCGUAAAGGGUGCGUAGGCGGGUCUUUAAGUCAGGGGUGAAAUCCUGGAGCUCAACUCCAGAACUGCCUUUGAUACUGAAGAUCUUUGAGUUCGGGGAGAGGUGAGUGGAACUGCGAGUGGUAGAGGUGAAAUUCGUAGAUAUUCGCAAGAACACCAGUGGCGAAGGCGGCUCACUGGCCCGAUACUGACG
rnacentral:rRNA from 1 species